rnacentral:rRNA from 1 species
GGAUUAGAAACCCGGGUAGUCUCGGCCCUAAACGAUGUUCACUAGGUGUCGGGGGGUAACCUCCGGUGCCGCAGCUAACGCAUUAAGUGAACCGCCUGGGGACUACGGCCGCAAGGUUGAAACUCAAAGGAAUUGGCGGGGGACCGCACAAGCGGUGGAGCAUGUGGCUUAAUUCGAUGCAACGCGAAGAACCUUACCAGGGCUUGACAUGUAACUGCAAGCCGCCGAAAAAGCGGUCGCCUUCGAGGGUGUUACACAGGUGGUGCAUGGCUGUCGUCAGCUCGUGUUGUGAAAUGUUGGGUUAAGUCCCGCAACGAGCGCAACCCUCAUUGUCUGUUGCCAGCGAGUAAUGUCGGGAACUCGGACAAAACUGCCUCUGUAAGGAGGAGGAAGG